AGGGNCGUGGUGUAGCGGUUGCACAGCAGACUUUUAAUCUGCCUGAGAGGGUUCGAUUCCCUCCGGCCCUA
rnacentral:tRNA from 1 species